GCCUCGUCGGGGCCGCCAGCCGAAACCCACCUCUGUGGACAGCAAGCUCGCGUGCGGCGCCGUCACCCCCGGCAGAAAACUCGGAACCCGAUGGCGAGAUGAGCUCACGCUGGACCCUCUAGUCGACACCAUUAUUUGUUCUCAACAGACAUACCCGCCUUGCGACGGUGCUUCUCACCAACCGCCCGCUUCAGGACAGCGGGAAGUAAUGGCGCUCAGGAGGAAACACGUCCAGUGGUAUGUGGAGCCAAGGCCAGCUCCUGACACUCCCACAGAGCCUGGGAAUCCCACUCCGCCCUGGCAAGUAGGAUCAGAUACUUCAGAGUUCAGUCAGGAGGGCGUGACACCCAGGAUCUGCAUGUAACACCAGAAUCUGUUGCAGUGCCUUUGGACUUGCAGAUAAGCAGUUGUUUUUUAGCUUAAGAUGGCCUUGGAGACAGAGGCUGGAAAACAGACUAUUUUCGACCAAGAAAUGAAGUCUUUGUCUGCUUUUAUCUGCGCACUCUAGAAGCAUGCAGAACACACUUUACAAAGAUGUUUGAACCUGGGGCCUCCCUGGUGGCACAAGGAGUUAAGACGCAGCACUAUGAAGCUAUCCACAGCCACUGCAGCAUGAAUUCGAUCCCCGGCCAAGGAGGUGGCCCACGUGGUGCAGCAGGCCUCUCCUGCCUCACCUGCUGCUCCCCUCAGCAGUGGAUUUCAGUCAAUCCACCUGUUCUGUUCCCCACUGUGUCUCUGGUGAAUCCUCUCACACUCCACACCUCUGGCCUGUAUCCCAGUUCUUGUAUGCAUAAAUAAAUCUUAAAAAAAAAAAACAAAGAUGUUUGAACCUCUGAAACUAGUCAUAGUUAAUUCAAGUAAUUAACUGUAGUGGAAAAUAAGAGUAGAAUAUAAAGAUGGCCCCAAAAGCAGCCAUCCACAACCUACAUUAAUUUGAUGGGUCCAUUCAACAGAUGUCCCUUGAGUUUCUUCCCCUGCAAGGGGGUUGGCACCAGGCAGGAACAUGUGGAUCAUCUUCUGUGACCCUGGAGAAGUUCAGUCCGCACCCUCUGUUCAACAAGUGAGAAGUGUACUCUCGCUCCUUUGACCGCCUGAAAAAGCUGCACCCACACCAAGAAUUCUUCAUUUUCUGUAACCGUCACCUGUUCAGUUACCAGAAAAAACAACUUCUGGAUGAUAUAGCCUCUUGUUUUUCAUGACUUUGUCCAACUUGUUAUCGCUCAUCAGUACAACCUACCUCUACUUAAGCUUGAAGUGAUUAAAAGGGAAAACCUAAGCUGACAAGCCAGCAGAAAUUCUGGUAAAGAGGCUCAGAAAGUAAGUUCUUUGGUGACUUUUACCCAAAGGGAGAAUCCCCCCCCCCAGGUUAUGGUCACCCUAGAAAGAUAUCUUCCAACCAAAGACUCAGCAACACCUAUAACUUGCCCCUACCCCUACCCUGCUAUUGCCAUCCCCAGAGAUAUAAGCAUUUGUAUCUGGAAGACAAGAAGCCUCCAGAAUGGCAAGGAUCUGGCAGGUGCAAGUGAAGCAAAGCAGUGACAGAUGCUGGAGAGAAACACCUGGUAAAGGUCUGAACUGGACACAAUAGUCUGAGACGCAGAAAUUUUGCUGUUAAAAUAUUGUCUCUAA